rfam:Ovis aries breed Texel chromosome 3, whole genome shotgun sequence.
UCCCUCAUAGCUCAGUUGGUAAAGAAUCUGCCUGCAAUGCAGGAGGCCCCGGUUCGAUUCCUGGAUAGGGAA